UUAAUAUCCAUAAGGGUCUUUUUAUGCACAGUACAUAAGGUGGUGACAGCCAUCCGAUCAUGAUUAUAGUGAUGACACGUGUAUUGAUCUGAAGGUCUCACCUCUGACUCUGAGUCACACAGGAUCACAGUCUCAAGCUCUCUCAAGGUCUCAUCAUCGCGAUUCUCUCUGAAUGUCGCCGUCGUCUUCUCCCUUCGUAAUCUCGCCGUCGUGUUCUCAACUCAACGACUAUCGUCGUUCGUGAAUGUCGUCGUCAUCUUCUCCGUAAUUCUCUCUCUGCAUUGUUCGUAUCAAAACCCUAAUCCCUUUCUUCUCCGCUCCACUCUCAUUCUCAUUCUCUUUCCCAAUCCAUCCAAUGAGCUAUCAAAUGGUUGCAAAGUUUGUGGUUUUCUAGGUUCUAGAAGGCCAAGGCAACUACAAAUUUUGCAAAGUUGUCAAAUAUUUGGAUUUUAGAAGAUUUAUGUGGUAACUCUUCUUGAUUAAGUGAAGGUUUUGAUUCAAUUGUGUUUUAAAUGGAUUUAACGUCCACUUCAUCUGGAAUUGGUGAUAUUCAUUCGACUGAAGCAUCUGGAAGUGAACCAUUGACUUCAUCUGAUAGUUCUCAAUGUUGCCACCCUGACAUUAAGAAAUCAUGGGACACUUUAGUAUUUCAUUCUAUUAAAGAGGUUGAAGAUUUCUAUGGUCAGUAUGCAUAUAAAAUUGGAUUUUCAAUCAGGAGUAUGUUGAAGUCGAAGAAUAAUUCAAAGAAUAAGAAGUCGGAUAAGAUACAUUACAUACGUUAUGUUUGUAACAAAGAAGGUUUUAAGAAAUGAAGUUUGCUUAAUCCGAACAACAAGCCAAAAUCAGACAGUCCGGUUGUUAUUGAAUUUGAAAAUGUGAAAGAGAGACUGGAGGAAAGGAUUGGUUGUAAAGCUG